UUUGUACUCCCUCCGUCCCAAAAUUCUUGUCUUAUAUUUGUCUAAAUACGGAUGUAUCAAGUCAUGUUUUAGUAUUAGAUACAUCCGUAUGUAGACAAAUCUAAGAAAAGAAUUUUGGGACGGAGGGAGUAUUUG
rnacentral:pre_miRNA from 1 species